CGAAAUGCGAUAAGUAAUGUGAAUUGCGGAAUUCAGUGAAUCAUCGAAUCUUUGAACGCACCUUGCGCUCCUUGGUAUUCCUUGGAGCAUGCCUGUUUGAGUAUCAUGAAAUCUUCAAAGUAAAUCUUUUGUUAACUCAAUUGGUUUCUACUUUGGUAUUGGAGGUCUUUGCAGCUUCACACCUGCUCCUCUUUGUUCAUUAGCUGGAUCUCAGUGUUAUGCUUGGUUCCACUCGGCGUGAUAAGUUAUCUAUCGCUGAGGACACUGUAAAAGGUGGCCAAGGUAAAUGCAGAUGAACCGCUUCUAAUAGUCCAUUGACUUGGACAAUACUUUUAUGAUCUGAUCUCAAAUCAGGUAGGACUACCCGCUGAACUUAAGC
rnacentral:misc_RNA from 1 species